CGGAGGGUGCAAGCGUUAUCCGGAUUUACUGGGUUUAAAGGGUGCGUAGGUGGGUUGGUAAGUCAGUGGUGAAAUACUAUCGCUUAACGAUGGAACUGCCAUUGAUACUAUCAAUCUUGAAUGCAGUGGAGGUAGGCGGAAUGCGUCAUGUAGCGGUGAAAUGCUUAGAUAUGACGCAGAACACCAAUUGCGAAGGCAGCUUGCUACACUGCGAUUGACACUGAGGCACGAAAGCGUGGGGAUCAAACAGGAUUAGAUACCCUGGUAGUCCACGCCCUAAACGAUGAUUACUCGAUCUCGGCGAUACACAGUCGGGGUCUAUGUGAAAGCAUUAAGUAAUCCACCUGGGGAGUACGAUCGCAAGAUUG
rnacentral:rRNA from 1 species